GACCCGAUCGUGGACACAAACAGGGAGGAUAACACCUUCAGCUGUUGUGUUAAUGUUUAUGUUGCACUUGUCUAACGGUUUAGGGUACUGAGCAAAUUGAGAUGCUGGAGCGGGAGUAAUGCCGCCGCUGGGGCAUGGUUGAUUUUCCAACUCAUCUGCGAUUUCAUCGGCUAGACAAUCGGCCUUGUCCUGCUUCGUUAGGGCUGGUAAGCUGUGGGAUUGCCGGUAACUGUUGAUACCGG
rnacentral:misc_RNA from 1 species